rnacentral:rRNA from 1 species
UGGGGAAUAUUGGGGCAAUGGGGGCGCAAGCCUGACCCAGCAACGCCGCGUGAGGGAAGAAGGUUUUCGGAUUGUAAACCUCUGUCCUUGAUGAAAAGAAGAAGAUGGUAAUCGAGGAGGAAGCCCCGGCUAACUACGUGCCAGCAGCCGCGGUAAUACGUAGGGGGCGAGCGUUGUCCGGAAUGAUUGGGCGUAAAGGGCGUGUAGGCGGCUUGGUAAGUCUGGAGUGAAAGUCCUGCUUUCAAGGUGGGAAUUGCUUUGGAUACUGUCGAGCUUGAGUGCAGGAGAGGUUAUCGGAAUUCCCGGUGUAGCGGUGAAAUGCGUAGAGAUCGGGAGGAACACCAGUGGCGAAGGCGGGUAACUGGACUGCAACUGACGUUGAGGCGCGA